GAAUUGCGAUAAGUAAUGUGAAUUGCAGAAUUCAGUGAAUCAUCGAAUCUUUGAACGCACCUUGCGCUCCCUGGUAUUCCUAGGAGCAUGCCUGUUUGAGUGUCAUGAAUUCCUCAAACCCCAAUGUUUUGCAAAAUUCAUUGCUUGGGUUUGGUUGUGGGCCUAUAUUGCUGCUUCACCGCAGCUGGCCUUAAAGAUAUUAGCUGGACUCUCCGAGACUCUUGGAUAGUUCCACUUGAUGUGAUAAAUUUGCAUCGGUGGGUCAAGACUAUGCUUGGGAAGUGUGAGAAGUCUGCUUCUAAUCCGGCGAGAGGUUCCAUCCUCGACCCAAUUCAUUUACAACUCUGGCCUCAAAUCAGGUAGGACUACCCGCUGAACUUAAGC
rnacentral:misc_RNA from 1 species